GCUUCUACAAAACUGUGUUUCACAGACAAAGGAGUGAAGAUCUGCUCGGGGACACCGGCCUUGCACGUCUUCCCUUCUAGAAGAUGCAUGCUAAAAUGAAGAUGAAAAAAGAUGAAUAAAGGUUUUGUGAAAUAACUACUGAGGUCUGGUGCCGUCUCUGGAUGCCCGAGGAAUAAAAAGAACCGGGGUGAAACUGAUUUCUCAACACUCCACAGACCCCCCUCCUUUUUUCCAACCGUAUACCUAUUCUCUCUCACAUGUUUGGGUUAAUAAUUAGGCCUACAUAGCUGCUGGUUGCAGCUUAAAGAUUCAUCUUAAAGAUCCUAAAUUUGUCAUUGAUUUAAACUUUGGGGUUUGCAGAACACACGUGCAGAAAAUUACAGAGUAAACAGUGAAAACCACAAACUUAAGUCACAAGAUGCUGGAAUUCCAUUUUUUAUUUGAGCAGAAACUUUCAAGGGUCUGUGCCCAGUUGAUGAUCAAACAGUCCAGCAGGUGGCGAUAAUGCACCAGCGUUAUCCGCCAAAAAGAAAAAAGAAGAAGAAGAAGCAGAGUUCCCGCUUGAUUGCGUUUGCUUCUCAGUUUUUCGCUUUCUCAUCCAAAGCUGAUCAGCUGGAGGAGAAGAGUCUGACGGAGCAGCAGAGGAACAUUUCCAGCUACUUGGAAUCAGUUGAGUCACUACAGAGAAAACAAUGAGCUCAACACAGAAGAGUGCGUUUGUGCUCGCUGAAAAAGCCUGGGCGGGAUCUAACCUACUGUACAAGUGGCAGAAAAGCUUUGGCAGAUAU